UACGUAGGGUGCAAGCGUUGUCCGGAAUUAUUGGGCGUAAAGAGCUCGUAGGCGGUCUGUCGCGUCUGCUGUGAAAACUCGGGGCUUAACCCCGGGCCUGCAGUGGGUACGGGCAGACUAGAGUGCGGUAUGGGAGACUGGAAUUCCUGGUGUAGCGGUGAAAUGCGCAGAUAUCAGGAGGAACACCGGUGGCGAAGGCGGGUCUCUGGGCCGUAACUGACGCUGAGGAGCGAAAGCGUGGGGAGCGAACAGG
rnacentral:rRNA from 1 species